GCUUUUUGGUAUGUUUACAUAUUGUGGAAGAAGUUUUUUUUUCAUCUGGGAGUUCUCAACUUCCUCAUCAUGGCCGAUGCACCAUUUUUGUUGUCCAAAUUUACAACUUGCUGAAGUGUUACUUUUUGGAGAUUUGCUUGCAAUGGAAAUACAAGUUUCAGCUCUUGAUUCUACAAAGUCACAACAAAUCAUGUGAAAUUCAAAAUAUUG